GGAGAGGUGGCCGAGCGGUUUAAGGCGCACGCCUGGAAAGCGUGUUGAGGCGCAAGUCUCUCGCAGGUUCGAAUCCUGUCCUCUCCGCCA
rnacentral:tRNA from 1 species